AGUGAACGCUGGCGGUAGGCCUAACACAUGCAAGUCGAACGGCAGCACAGUAAGAGCUUGCUCUUACGGGUGGCGAGUGGCGGACGGGUGAGGAAUACAUCGGAAUCUACUUUUUCGUGGGGGAUAACGUAGGGAAACUUACGUUAAUACCGCAUACGACCUACGGGUGAAAGCAGGGGAUCUUCGGACUUUGCGCGAUUGAAUGAGCCGAUGUCGGAUUAGCUAGUUGGCGGGGUAAAGGCCCACCAAGGCGACGAUCCGUAGCUGGUCUGAGAGGAUGAUCAGCCACACUGGAACUGAGACACGGUCCAGACUCCUACGGGAGGCAGCAGUGGGGAAUAUUGGACAAUGGGCGCAAGCCUGAUCCAGCCAUACCGCGUGGGUGAAGAAGGCCUCCGGGUUGUAAAGCCCUUUUGUUGGGAAAGAAAAGCAGCAGGUUAAUACCCCGCUGUUCUGACGGUACCCAAAGAAUAAGCACCGGCUAACUUCGUG
rnacentral:rRNA from 1 species